GAUCAUGGCCAGGAUGAACGCUAGCUACAGGCUUAACACAUGCAAGUCGAGGGGCAGCAUUUCAGUUUGCUUGCAAACUGGAGAUGGCGACCGGCGCACGGGUGAGUAACACGUAUCCAACCUGCCGAUAACUCGGGGAUAGCCUUUCGAAAGAAAGAUUAAUACCCGAUAGUAUAAUUAGACCGCAUGGUCUUAUUAUUAAAGAAUUUCGGUUAUCGAUGGGGAUGCGUUCCAUUAGGCAGUUGG
rnacentral:rRNA from 1 species